rnacentral:rRNA from 1 species
UACAGAGGGUGCAAGCGUUGCUCGGAAUUAUUGGGCGUAAAGGAUAGGUAGGUGGUCUCAUUUGUCCGGGGUGAAAGCCUUGAGCUUAACUCAAGAAGUGCCCCGGAAACGGUGAGACUGGAGUCUUGGAGAGGGUCGUGGAAUUCCCGGUGUAGCGGUGAAAUGCGUAGAGAUCGGGAGGAACACCAGAGGCGAAAGCGGCGACCUGGACAAGUACUGACACUCAACUACGAAAGCGUGGGGAGCAAACAGG